ensembl:snRNA U6 U6 spliceosomal RNA
GUGCUCGCUUCAGCAGCACAUAUACUGAAAUUGGAACAAUACAAAGAAGAUUAGCAUGGCCCCUGCACAAGGAUGACAUGCAAAUUUGUGAAGAGUUCCAUAUUUUU